rnacentral:misc_RNA from 1 species
AUGGAUGUGAGGGUGGGUUGUCCUGCAUUCUGGAAUCUGAUUUAGACCAUCUUUGUAUCUACUAGUAGUAUAUAUGUUGCUUAGUCCUGCUAUGAUUUUGAUUACUUUUGAUUUUGGUAGUUCUUGAGCCAUAAUUGGUAAUAUUUGCAUUCCUUGCCUAAUCAAUUUCUGUUCCUUGUUUUCCAUGGCUCGUCUAGGGAAACUAAUAUGCUGAUCUUAAUUUGUGAUCUAUAUACAAAUCCCAUUUGAUUAGGUAUGCACAUCAGAAGAUUCAU